rnacentral:rRNA from 1 species
AGUCGAGCGGUAACAUUUCUAGCUUGCUAGAAGAUGACGAGCGGCGGACGCGGUGAGUAAUGCUUGGGAAUAUGCCUUAUGGUGGGGGACAACAGUUGGAAACGACUGCUAAUACCGCAUAAUGUCUACGGACCAAAGGGGGGGAUCUUCGGACCUCUCGCCAUUUGAUUAGCCCAAGUGAGAUUAGCUAGUUGGUGAGGUAAUGGCUCACCAAGGCGACGAUCUCUAGCUGGUUUGAGAGGAUGAUCAGCCACACUGGGACUGAGACACGGCCCAGACUCCUACGGGAGGCAGCAGUGGGGAAUAUUGCACAAUGGGCGCAAGCCUGAUGCAGCCAUGCCGCGUGUGUGAAGAAGGCCUUCGGGUUGUAAAGCACUUUCAGUAAGGAGGAAAGGGAUGUGGUUAAUAACUGCAUUCUGUGACGUUACUUACAGAAGAAGCACCGGCUAACUUCGUGCCAGCAGCCGCGGUAAUACGAGGGGUGCAAGCGUUAAUCGGAAUUACUGGGCGUAAAGCGUUCGUAGGCGGUUGAUUAAGCAAGAUGUGAAAGCCCAGGGCUCAACCUUGGAACUGCAUUUUGAACUGGUCAACUAGAGUACUGUAGAGGGUGGUGGAAUUUCC